CCUACGGGUGGCAGCAGUGGGGAAUAUUGGACAAUGGGGGGAACCCUGAUCCAGCGACGUCGCGUGAGUGAAGACGUAUUUCGGUAUGUAAAGCUCUUUCAGCAGGGAAGAAAGAAAUGACGGUACCUGACUAAGAAGCCUCGGCUAACUACGUGCCAGCAGCCGCGGUAAUACGUAGGGGGCAAGCGUUAUCCGGAUUUACUGGGUGUAAAGGGAGCGUAGGCGGUGCAGCAAGUCUGAUGUGAAAGGUAGGGGCCCAACCCCGGGACUGCAGUGGAAACUGUUGAACUGGAGUACAGGAGAGGUAAGCGGAAUUCGUGGUGUAGCGGUGAAAUGCGUAGAUAUUAGGAAGAACACCGGUGGCGAAGGCAGCUUACUGGACUGCAACUGACGUUGAGGCUCGAAAGCGUGGGGAGCAAACAGGAUUAGAUACCCGAGUAGUC
rnacentral:rRNA from 1 species